UGGUACUCAACCACGCCCCUUAUUCGGUGAGGCCGAUGUUGGUGGCUGGGCACUCGAAGGGUCUUCAGCAACAGAUAAAGAUGGCAGAAGUGGCCAAUUGUUGAGCAUGGUUGAGGCUAUAAAUCCAGGAAUAUACAGAAUAAGUUUUAACACAGGAAAGUAUUUCCCCGCCGGGUUCUUUCCUUACGUUUCCAUCGUGUUCGAAAUCAGGGAAUCCCAGAAGUUAGAACACUUCCAUGUCCCUCUCCUGCUUUCGCCAUUCUCAUUCUCCACAUAUCGCGGAAGCUAGAAGUUAUCUGUUCAUGUGACUGUUCCACUGUUUUG
rnacentral:misc_RNA from 1 species